rnacentral:lncRNA from 1 species
GCACUGGCUAUUAAUUCCUGGAGUUCAGAUGGUCAGUGUUACAGUGUUAUCUAUGUGAAGUAUGUGGAAAGUUGGGGGCUGGGGAUUUUCCUCCAGGCAGAUUUCAAAAAAAAAAAAAAAAAGGCCAGGGGCGGUGGCUUAUGCCUGUAAUCCCAGCACUUUGGGAGCCCAAGGCGGGCAGAUCACCCGAAGUCAGGAAUUUGAGACCAGCUUGGCCAACAUGGUGAAACCCCGUCUCUACUAAAAAUACAAAAAUUAGCUGGGUAUGGGGUCACGCGCCUGUAGUCCCAGAUUGCAGUGAGCCAAAAUCACACCACUGCACUCCAGCCUGGCGACAGAGCGAGACUCCAUCUCAAAAAAAAACACCUCCGAAAAUUUGGUGUCCUUUACUAAUAAUUCUUGGGAAGUAGAAAAAGGAUAUACGUAGCAAGCUUUUGUUCCCACACUAUACUUGGUUUCUAAUUUGCAGUUCCCUUCUUGACCUGCAUAGAAUAAUAGUUAUUUUCCAUUGGGAAAUGAGAAAUCUUCAACAUUGAGGUAAGUUAGGAUUUUUUUUUUUUUAAGAGGUGGGGUCUCACUCUAUUGCCCAGGCCACCCGAGGUCACCAGUGUGGCCAACAUGGUAAAACCCCAUCUCUACUAAAAACACAAAAAUUUGAUGAGCGUGAUGGUGCACACCUGUAAUCCUAGCUUCUUGGGGGGCUGAGGCCGGAGAAUCACUUGAGCCCGGGAGGUGGAGGCUGCAGUGAUCCGAGAUCAUGCCACUGCACUCCAGCCUGGGCAACAGAACGAGACUCAAAAAAAAAGAUGAGUAAGAAACACGUACCAAAGCAUGGAAUUGGGAAAGACCCUCUGGGUGUAUGGAGAUGGGAGAAGCAGGGAUGGACUGUGUAGGUAAUUUUCUUAUUCCAUCUUCCUUCCCUGCCUUCUUUCUCUGCUCGCCGCUCUUGGUCAGUGAAUACUGUAUGACUUCAGUUUUUCCCAUCUCAGGCCUUAUAUAAAAAUAUUAGAGCCAGGCGUGGCGGCUCAUGCCUGUAAUCCCAGCACUUUGGGAGGCCGAGGCAAGCAGAUCACCUGAGGUCAGGAGUUCGAGGAUAGCCUGGCCAACAUGGCGAAACCCCAUCUCUACUAAAAAUACAAAAAAAUUAGCUGGGCGUGGUGGCUUAUUCCUGUAGUCCCAGCUACUCGGGAGGCUGAGGCACCAGAAUCACUUGAACCCGGGAGGCAGAGGCUGCAGUGAGUCAUGAUCACGCCACUGCACUCCAGCCUGGGUGACAGAGCGAGACUCCAUCUCAAAAAAAAAAAAAAAAAAAAACUGAAUGGUGGCUUCCACUCUCCCUGAUCCUGUUCCCGUGGGAGACUCAACUAUUGCUAUUCCCAUCCUGAUUCAAAAAACCAGUUUGCUCUAGCUGCCCAGACUUCCCCACAGGCUGCAUUCUUGCCCAUGAGCUCAUUGUUUUGGCUUCUUUGCCUGUAUAAGUCUACUGCCAGUGCCAGAGGUCUCAGCCCGGGGCCCCCUAACUAGCUGGGGCUGCAUUCCAUUCAGAAUUUCACCACCCCCACUUGGUGUUCUUCCCGCCCUCAUGUGGUCACAUGUGUAUGUUUACUCAAGUUAGCCUGGGACAAGGUGUGCUGGGAUAGAGAGCCAAAGAAGCAGAGAAGGAAAAGAAUGUUUAACUGUUAGGUUUCAUCCUGGAUUAGAUUUCAGUAAAAAUGCUUUCAGUUCUGUGCCCUAAAAAAUGUUAAUUUUCUUGUCUGGUAGGAGGAGCUGGUUUUGAAAAUUUUGCUAUACAUUUCUGGAGCAGUUCCCACCGUCUCCGGCCCUUGGUGGAAAUGGGGGGAGGGGAGACAGCUGGCCUGCUGCAAGGGAGCAGCUGUUCGGUUUCACUGCUUUGUUACUGAACUUUCCUGAGGGGAGGAUACCUUGUUUAUUUCCUUUUGCAUGAGAGCCCAAAUCUAAGGAAAGUGGGGCACACACCUCAGGUGAAGGGCUAUGGGAAGAGCAUUUCUCUUACUUUGCAGAGUUUUGGAUUAAUACUAGAUGCUUAAGCGGUAUACUCCUUUCCUCCACCCCCCUCUUCUUCAUCUGUAAAAACAAAACCAAAAAACAAAACUGCAGGCUGCGGCUGUGGGAGGUGACUUUUUUUCAUUUCUCAGAAAUCCCUCAUGAGGCAAAGCAGAGAAACAGAAAGAGGGAAACAACUUUGUGUCAAAAUGAGGUUGUGUGUGUGUGUUUUGAAAUGAGGUGGCUUGUUGUCAGCUUUAAGGAACAACAGCUCUGCAGAGGAGCCUGGUGAUGGCGGGGAGGAGUGCUGGGCUACCUGCUUCCUUGCCCCUUGCCCCACUUCAAAGCUGGGUAGUUGGGGUCAGGUAUGAAACAGGAUGGAAGUCGCUGUAUCUUCCUUUCCCCAUCAUGAACCAUGAAAGAUGUAUCAGUGCUACUGUAUGAAAGAAAAAUUUGACCAGUCGCGGUGGCUCAUGCCUGUAAUCCCAGCACUUUGAGAGGCCAAGGCGGGUGGAUCACCUGAGGUCAGGAGUUUGAGACCAGCCUGACCAACAUGGCAAAACUCUCUCUACUAAAAAUGGGGGUGGUGGUGUGCACCUGUGGUCCCAGCUACUUAGUUGCAAGACAGUGUACCUUAAACAAAGACCAGGAAUACUGUCAUUUCCUGGACCCAGGAAAAUUGGCCAGGCGCAGUUGCACGCGCUUGUAGUCCCAGAUAUUCUGGAGGCUAAGGCAGAAGAAUCACUUGAGCCCUGGAGUUCAGGGCUAUAGUGCGCUAUGUUGAUCUGGUGUUCAUGCUAAGUUCCGCAUCAAUAUGGUGACUUCUUGGGAGUGGGGGACCACCAGGUUGCCUAAGGAGGGGUGAACCUGCCUACGUUGGAAAUAGAGCUGGUCAAAACUCCUGUGCUCAUCAGUAGUAGAAUUGCACCUGUGAAUAGCCACCGCCCUCCAGCAUGGGCAACAUAGCAAGACCCUGCCUCUUAAGAUAAAAAUUGGAAAACACUGGUAGGAAAAAAAGGCUGUUUGGUCUAAAUAAGUCUGGAUUGGGUAUAAAUGACACAAAACUAUCAUGAAUUUGAAAGCAUUUCUAAUUUCUUGAAAGUCUGAAAAAGUUUAAACAGAAUUUUAGCUGAAAAGUCCUGAAAGACAUUUGAAAAAAAACAGCAAGAACACUUAAAACUAUUCAAGGUUUGGGCUGGGCACAGUGGCUCAUGCCUGUAAUAAACAAAACAAAACAAAACAAAAAACUAUUCAAGGUUUGGAUCAUUGAGGCCAAAAUUAUUUUGAUAACAAGAUGCCCCGUGUGAAUGAAACUGAGUAAUAGAAGGCUCAUGGCCAGUAGUCGUAGCUACUAGGGAGACUGAGGCAGGAGGAUCACUUGAGCCUAGGAAGUUGAGGCUGCAGUGAGCUGUGAUUGUGCCACUGCAUUUCAGCCUGAUGACACAGCCCUGACCAACAUGGUGAAACCCUGUCUCUAUUAAAAAUACAACAUUAGCCAGGCGUGGUGACACAUGCCUGUAGUCCCAGCUACUUGGGAGGCUGAGUGAGUAGAAUUGCUUGAACCCGGGAGGCGGAGGUUGCAGUGAGCCGAGAUCACACCAUUGCACCCCAGCCUGGGCAACAAGAGCAAAACUCCAUCUAAAAAAAAAAAAAAAAGUGAAGAAACUAGAUCUGAAGCCUUAAUUUUCUCCCCUAUAAACAGGACUUAACGAUACUGUCAGCUAUCUUAUUACCGCAAAGAUUUAAAGAGAGACUAUUGAUACACGUGCUUUGUGCUUUUACCUUAAAGCACUACACAAAUAGAAGGAGUUUCAGGACUGUCCCUUAAGGGUUUACUCUAUUAACCAUUUUCAAGUCCUUAAAUUCCCUAGGAGAAGCAAUUAAGAACCAGGCAUCAGUAGAGUAUGUUGAAUUAAAAGGUUCUACAGCUGUAUUUUGAGGCCUGGAAGAGACACAAACAGGACUUUCUAUGGCUAGGCAGAGCAGAAGUCACCAGUUAGGAAAAAUCCCCAGGGUCAGAAACCACCUCCCUGCCAAAUUUGCCCUGCUGCCUGUUUUUGUAUGGCCCACAAGCUAAGAAUCAUUUUGGUAUUUUUAAAUGGUUGAAAAAAAUGGGCCGGGCACAGUGGCUCAUGCCUGUAAUUCCAGCACUUUGGGAGGCUGAGGUGGGAGAACUGCUUGAGCCUAGUAGUUCAGGACCAGCCUGGGCAACACAGUGAGACCUUGUCUCUACAAAAAAAAAU